rfam:Methanosarcina barkeri str. Fusaro, complete genome.
GCCCGGAUAGCCUAGAUGGUUGGGGCGCCAGACUCAUAGGGACAAUUAUAUGAGGCGUCUUUAAUCUCCUGAGAUAUCUGGAGGUCGCGUGUUCGAGUCACGCUCCGGGCA